rnacentral:lncRNA from 1 species
UUCCCGAGUAAUACUCUAAAACAUUAUGGUUUACAAUCUCGGAAGAGAGCUGAAAAGAAUUGACAAUUUAUAAUAAAUGAUUAUUUACUUGCAAAAAGGUCAUUUUGCACAAGGAUUUCUAGUCUUCAAAAGAACAGAAGCGAAAAGAAAUUAUACGAAUGCAUAAGGGUUUCUUACAGCGCUUAUUGUCAUUUCAAGAUUUGAUCGCGUUAAAAACUUAGUUGUGUAAAAACACGUUUUGGCCUUGCGCAUACCGUAGCCUACAUUAAACUGCCGAAGCAUCUGGAAUUCCCAUCAUUUCAUUCUUUUCUUUCUAACUUGUUGGACAAUAUGGUGAUCCGAGUGUGAAGUGAUUACG